CGUCUAAUCUACCUCCUUAACGGAAUUGUAACGUGGCUUUUCAAUUGACAGCGCAUUGAAAUUUGUAUUUUAUAAGAUCAGAGAAAUCCUGCAUAACCUUAAUACACCUCCUGCACUCAUGUCAUAUUUAUCCAUUACACAUCAGCUCCAUAAACUAUGUGGUUCACCAUGAGUCCAUUCCACUGUGAUUGCUUUAAACUUUGAAGACUAACAUGAAGACUGUUGCUUUUGUGGGAUAAUUUGAAGCGGUGAUUUCUGUUGAAUUGACUUCUACGAGUGGUGCUUUCAAAUGCUGCAUGCUGUCAUGUUUGCUGACAAACAUGAACAUUUAUUUUUUUCUCAUUGGAAAGGAAAUAAUAAUACCACUUUCACAAUAUCUGUCUUGUGUAUUGUAUUCGAAUUUCACCAUUGUAAUGUAAUCUAAUAUUUGUUUUGUUUGUUUUUGAUCUAAAUUCACAUCAUUCUUUCUAGUAUUUAAGAGGACUCUUGGCUUUGAGCAUGUCAAAUUUAUAAUAAUGGAUAAAUACACAUGCGUGGUUGAUCAUUUGUUGUAUUUUCCUACGUUUUGGACCUGAAGAGGACUCCAUGUGAAGUUCCUCUUCCUAAAUCUGGAACAGUCUAAACCUAAGCCUUGCAUUGGUUGUAUCCUUUUUAUCUGGUCUGAUUAACUGACAGGCUGAGCGGUGGAUUACAACGUGCUGGCAUGUGAAUCUGUGGAGUGUACCUGUGUUUGGGUGUUUGAAUGUUUGUGUGUUGUUUGCGUUUGUAAUCUGUCCGUCAUUCUGUUGCUGCACUGUGAUCAAAUGUCCUGACCUCUUUCCCCCGAAAAGCCAGGUGAUAGAUAAUCCAGAUAAACCCUGCUAUCCAAAUACACAUGCACAGCUAAAAUUAUUGUUGCGUCUUGUCCUUUACAAGUAUGCAAAUCCCUUGAAGUUUUCCCACAAUUUAUUAUUUUAUAAUGACUGACUGCAGUGUGUUUUGUUUGCAUUUUAAGUGAUAGACCAACACAGUUUUGUGGCAGGAAAAAAUAUGAUUUGGAAACCUUUUUUUAUUAAAGAAUUCUGAAAAUGCAUUUGGACUCAAAGACCACAAAUCAGUCCUCUGAAAAAUAAAACACCUUACCCUGUAAUUACAGCUUGUAGGUUUUGAUGUUUAUCUCUGCCACAUUAUUGCAGAAUAGCUUAAUAGACUCUAUGCCAAUGUUUGUGAACAUACAUUUUGAAGUCUUGGCACAGAUUCUCAAUUGAUGAUUAGCCUGGACAUUGACUGUGCCCUACUAGCACACAAGCAUGCUUUCCUAAAAAACAACCUGAAAAAUCUGUGUACCUCCAUUCAUAUUUCUACAAAACAGUUCAGGUUACCUGAUGAAAAAAGCUUUCCCAAAACAUUUCCUUUGGCAAUGAUGUGUUUGUUUGCAGUUAGCAAUCCUCCACACUUGCCAUUUUGCAUGCAGGCUGAAUGUUACUCUCACCUGAACCUUAUGUUGCUUCUGAUUUAAUGAGGUUUCAUAAGGGUGUCUUUCAACCGGAGCUUUCUCCUUGCCUUUCCUCCAUAAAGACAUGAUUUGUGGCAUGUCAAAAACUGGCUGUAAGAGAUUCUCUCACCUUAGCUGUGUUUUUCUGCAGCUGCUCUGUUGGUACAAUUGACCCUUUGGCUGCUUCACCAAUUUAUCCUCUCCUUAUCAUGUCCACAUUGGACAGCCAGAUUUCACAAAUAUAAAUUAAUACUGUCUAAGGAAAAAAACAAAAAAAAAAAAACAACUUCAAAUCAUCUGACAUUUUGACCAUGUGCUCCUCUUCUAACCCUGCAAAUACAUUGCCAUUUUAGAAAAUCAUGAAAACCAUAAGGCUGUAUGGUGUGACAAAUGACACAAUUGUAAUAAAAAAAGCCCAGUCUGUGCACAUGCAACAUAUUGUGCUGAUGGUGCAAACAAAGUCUGCAGAAGUUGUGUUGGCUAUAGAGGAGAAACUUUAGGUCACAAAUGGGAGCUGAAUCAUUUAGGAUCUAAAACCAGUUUCCAUGGUACAACUUUCCUUAGCAAGUCUCUGUGUCUCUAUUAAGUGCAUGCCUUCACAUCACAGCACUCUUUAUUAUGUUGCAUACAAGCUGAGUGGAUUGUGGCUUAUAGGUGCUAGCAAAGCAGAACAAACAAAGAGUUUGAUGUGACAGCCAUAUUUGCUAUUGUGUAUCAGAGCUGCUGUGUUGAACUAAGACAACUAAAAAGACUAAGACAGGAACUGAAUGUUUCUGUUUCAUUAAUGGAAAUUGAUCAAAUAGCAUAUGUUUAAAUGUAUUUUUGGCGUCUCAAACAGAAAUGUUGAAGCUGUUUUUGUCUCUCUAAUUUAUUAUGGCCUUUUCAGGAUCAUUGUCCAAAUUUCUGUGUUUCUUGGUUUAGUUACUAGUAAGUAAAUAUUUAUGCAUGGAAUUUAUCUCUAGUGAAAUUCAGGCCAGUGGGAAUUCUUGAUGCAGAAAUUAUGUUAAUCUGUUUUUGAGAAUGUUUGCUGUGGACUUUUGGAUAAUCACAUUGAUCCCAGCAAAUCUACCUCAGGCUGGCUUAAAUAGAUGAUCCAUUCCCUUGACCUCAGAACGUGGAGAAAA